UCUGGAACACGGCCUGGGGGUGGUAGCAGAUGGUGUGGCCUGUGUAACAGACGGGCAGCUGGUGGCUCAGGGCUCCCUGUCUCCUGGGGGGCUGUAGCCCACCCCUGCCCCUCUUCAGCCCCAAGCUCCUCCUCAUCCACCCCCUUUCCUCUCUUGUGGGUGGUGAGUCAGGGAGGGUCAAGGGUGCUUGGGUGGGGGCAGGCCUGGGGGUCUUUAAGCCCGGCCUCGCCCUCCCACCUAUGAAGAGUGUCACCCAGGUCUUGAUGUGGCAGGAGUGGCUGUGCAGGUAGCUGAGGGCCUGUGACAAGUGGAUGCUGAAUUCCUCCUGGCUGCGGGUCAUCUGGCCGGAGGAGAGCACACCUGGCUGGGACGGGCUGGGGGCCCUGGGCAUACCAGGGUCCUCCAGCCCCAGUUUGCCUUGCCCAGCCCCUGGAGCUGCUAUAGCAGCUGUGUGUGAGACGGGAGUGAAUGGGGGAGCCGCAAGCCUGGUCUCCCCCACUCCCUGGCCCUGUUCCUCCCCACCGAUCCCAGGCCUCUCACCAGGCAGGUCCAGAGGAAGUGGCGGGCGCUGAGGCCCCUCUCCCAGGCCAGCGUGCAGAAGAGGGUGUGCAGUAGCCGCCAGCGGAGCAGCACAGCACAGCGGUAGAAGGUCCCCGAACAGUGCCAUGGCUGCCGCCCGAAUCCCGUCCCGCUCCUGCAAGGCAGAGGCUCAGAGGCACGGCCAGACCUGUCCAGGGGUCCCAGCUUUGGUCCAAGUUGGGACCCCACACCUUGUAGGGGUACAACUCAGUUCUUUCUGCAGGAUUCCUUCACCCAGGCUCUCGGCUCCCGGGGAAGGGAAGGGCUGGGGCUCCCCCCUCACACAGGGCUCUCUGGUGUCCCUGAGGAUGUAAGAAUCACAUCUCCCUUCUACCCACAACUGCAUCCUGGCAGCCCAGGCCUCAUGAAUGCAUUUGAGGGGCGCCUAUCCCCCAGAUUCCCCAGUGAAGGAAAAACAGCCACGCUAACCGUGCUGACAUGUCAGAAAGCAAAUCUGGGUAGGCUGUCGUGGGGCCGGAGACCACUGCACUUGGAGACUGAACGUGAGAACUAGUUCAGCCCUGUGGAGAAGGGCCAGUUCCGUCUUCUCCACUUGAUUGCGUGUUUGCAGUGAUUUCCUGAGUUAUCGGGAUGAAUGGUCAGAAAGCAGUGUGCCCACCAAUGGAUGUUUCCUGCCAUUGGGCCCCUUAGCAGUGACUUGGGUGCAAACCAGGGUGAUUUUUACAACUUUUAAACAAGUUUAAAGCAGCUUUGUUGGCUUUCUUAGCUGUUUGCUUUGAAAAUAUUAAAUUCAUUUUCAGCAAGUGAGUCAUUCAACAGUUACACUUUCUGAGCAUCUAUGUUUGCAGCCAGUGUUCGAAGACCAGGGUUCUGGCCAGGUCAGAGCAGGACAACAGAAUGAAAUUGUAAUGGAAAUGGUGAGAAAAGAAAAGAAAAAUGCAUAGCAUGGCGUAUUUCCACUCAGAGUGGAGUGGGGUGGCCUGCCCCAGCCACACCUGGUUCAGCCUUCCCAUCCCCAAGCCGGCAGGCCUCCCUGGCUGGCAGUGCUCUCGGGGCCUGUCUCCUCUGGUCUGCUGUGGCUGCUUGCCCAUAUCCCACCUGAUGCCAGGCGGGGAACCAUUCCCUCUUCUCUGGACCUGGUCCUCCUGAUCUAGCAGGGCCCUUCUUUGCCUUUCUGUAUUCCCUGUAUUCAGUGCAGGGUACAGAGGAGGCACAUGGAAACUUCCUACUGAUCAUUUCCCUGCCUGAGAGAACAUUUGGUGCACAGAUAACCGAACACUGAAUGAAUGAAUGAGGGAGCAAACGUGAAUAACUGGGUGAAUGAAUAGACAUAAAAAGAAUGAACAAAAUAAAUAAUGCAAGAAUGGGUCACAGAUGAAGGACCCAAGGAAC
rnacentral:lncRNA from 1 species